GGUGGAGUGACAUAAACACCUCUGUAGCCAUCACCACUAUGACUGCACUGGGUCAGAGAUGAAGCCAACAUAGCUCUGUGUCUCACCCAAGGCCUGCUGUAACCACUCCCUGGACAGCAUUGAAUUCAGAGCCUCACAAUUGCUGUGUUCUACUUCGCCUAGCAACCAGAGAUGAUCCCUGCAACAUGCUGCUGUUGCUGGGAGUGGGAAAGAGGUGGCAUCGGCGGUUCAAGACUGAGUUUUCUAUCUCUUCAGUGCCUCUUUCAACAAUGAAGAUCAAACCAGGUUUUGUGCAAAUAUCUGCUGAGUGAACUACUUAUUUGAAAAUACAUCAUUGGUUAAUAUUCCCUUUUGCUCAUUGAAAUCUCAAAGACUACAGACCCCGCACAAGACAUUCUGACAUUCCCGUCUUUGAAAUGAAUGACAGCAAUGAUAAAUAUGGCUCACCUCCAGAGAUACAGAUCUCACAACUUCAUAUUUUUAAUAUAAAUUAUUAAUCUGAGGUGUGGUGCAAUUCCAUUAGAUGAAAGAGAUCUACACAUUCAGAAGCACAUGAUUCUUCCCCCUUCCAUGAUUCCAGUGGCCAAUAGGUAAUCAGAACUUCUCUGUUCAGCUAAAAGACAGAAAAAGAGCAUAUGAAAGACGUAUUUUCCCAGAAGUGCUCAUCCUGAUAACUGUGUACAGCACUACUGCUCAUAUUCCAUUGGCCAAUAUUUAGGUAGAUAACUUCACUAACUACAAGGUAUGCUGGGAAAUAAAGUCCAGAUAUGUGUGACAUUAUGCUCCCCCUUUUUUUUUUACUUUCUAUUCAUUUUUUUCUUAUCCCUUUGUUAGAAAGAUUUUCCAUGAACAUAGAACUUAAUAUAUCGAAAAUCACCCUACCAUUCACUGUGUAACCCUAUGUGAUUUUAUUCAUAACAUUUAUCACUAAACACAAUUUAUUUCAUUUGUUUAUUUUUAUUAUCUCUUUGUGUAUGGGUGUGUGUGUGUGUGUGUGUGUGUGUGUGUGUGUAUACUUGAAAUGCAACAAAACAAUACAAUCAUAUCCAGCUGUUAAAUUAAUGAACAAGUAGAGUUGAGUACAACAUGACCCAGCCAUCCAUAUUUUCUGAGGCCUGGACAAAGCCAGUCCCCAAAAUAAGACAUUGACUGGUUUCAGCCCCUCAUAUCUGUAAUCCCUUGAUACUUCACCUGACACUUACUGAAAUUAUAAAACAAGCCACAUCAAGUCUUGAUAAAGAAAGUGUGGAACCCCUUUUCAAGGCUAUUAUAUUUCAAUGAAAUGAUUUUUUAUAUAUUUAUAUUUUUACUUAUCUAUGUAUCUAAGUUUCAGAAAUUCUGUUAAAAUGAAAUAUGUUGAAUAUACCAGCAAGCUGAUUUUAGAGGAGCUAAAUAAUCUAAGAAGUAUCUUCGUCUCACAAUUUUGGCAAAUUUAACCUCUGUGCUUUGCUAUUUAUUUAAAUUACAAUAAUUUAUGGUGUCUUACCAGAUGUCUAUUGUUAUUUCCCAUUAGGACAGAAUGACAUUAAGGUAAUUGUGUAUUUAUAAAACAGAAUGGGGGAAAGCAGAACAAGAUGGCCAAAUAGAAUCUUCCAGUAAUCAUUCUCCCUGCAAGAACACCAAAAUGAGUAACUAUCCACAUAAGAAAACAUCUCCACAACAACCAAAAAUCAGGGAAGCACUCACAGUACCUGGAUUUAACAUCAUAUCAAGGAAAGAGACACUGAAGGGGAUAGACAAGACAAGCUUGAAUUGCCUUCACCACCACUUCCCAUGCCCCAGCAGAGGUGCAGAGAGAGAAUCUGUGUGCUUGAGGGAGGGAGAUUGCAGUUAUUGUGGAACUUUGCAUAGGAAAUCAGUGCUGCUUGUCACAGCAGAAAGCAUCAUAGGGCAGAAUUUAUCUGGCACCCAUGGAGGGAGCAUUUAUACCAGCCCUAGCCCCAGGGGAACCAUCCAUUCUAGUGGUCAAAACCCAAGUUCCAGCUGGCCACAUGACCAUGAGCUAAAGUGCACUGGGGUCUUAAAUUUGAAAGUCAGUCUAAGCCAAAAGUACUACAAUUCCUUGACAAAUCCUUGUGCUGUGCUGUGCUUGGAACCGGUGGACUUGGGUUACACACAACAUAGUGAGACACCAGCUGGAGCGACCAAAGGAGUGCCUGCAUCACCCCUCCCUGAACCCUAGGGUAGUACAGCUCACAGUUCUGGGAAAGACUUCUUCCUUUCUCUUUCACUUUCUCUUGAGUAGAGAAAAGGAGAGAAUAAAAAGGGCUUUAUUUUGCAACUUGGAAACCAGCUCAGCCACAGUAGAAUAAGGCACUAGGUAGGGUCCUGAGACUCCUUCCACCCCUAGCUCCUGGCUGACAUUCGUAAACCUACCCUGGGCCAGAAGAGAACUUGCUGCCUUGAAGAGAAGGACCCAGGUCUGGCAGGAUACAUCACCUGCUGCCUAAAUAACCCUUGAGCCUUGAAUACCAAUAGUAGCCAGGUAUUAGUAGCCAUGACCCUUGGAUCCAAUCCAGUGUGAUGCUGGCUUUAGGUGUUAUCCAGAAUAUUACAAACUGUGGUGGACACAAGGAGAGAUGCUUUCUGCCCGAGAAAAAGAAAGGGAAGAGUAAGGGGACUUUGUCUUGCAGCUUGAGAACCAGCUCAGCCACAGUGAGUUGGAGAACAAAGUGUGCUCCUGAGAUCACCACCAAUUUGUGGCUCCUGGACAGCAUCUCUAGACUUAGCUGUGGGCAAGUGGGGAACCCACUACACUUAAGGGAGAUAUCCAGGUGUGGCAGCAUCUACAACAAACUGACUGAAAAUGGCUUGGCCCUUAAAUGAACAUCAAUGGUAGCCAGGCAGUACUUGCUGUGGGUCUGAGGCAGUAGUGGCAAUGGGGAGAGACUCCUCCUGCUUGAGUAAAGGAUAGAAAAGAGUGAGGAUGACUUUGUCUUGUGGCUCGGGCACCAGCUCAGCUGCAAUAGAAUAGAGCACCAAGAGAAUACUAAAGGCUCCUAAUUUCAGGCGCUGGCUCCUGGAUGCCAUUUCUGGACAUACCCUGGCCCAAGUAGAAGCUCACUGUACUGAAAGGGAGGACAUAAGGCUUGGCUGAAUUAGCCAUCUGCUCAUGGAAGAACACUUGAGCCUUGAGUGAACAUAAGCAGUAGCCAGAAAGUGGUUGCCAUGUCUUGGGUGAGACCCAGUGCUGUGUUGGCUUUGGCUCUAACUUAUUGCAGUCGCAGUGGUUAUGACCAUAGGAUUGCUUAUAUCAACUCUCCCACAGUUCCAGGCAGUUCAGCAGGGACAGAGAAUCUUCAUUUGUUUGGGGAAAAGUAAGGGAAGAGAAGAGUCUCUGUCUGGUAAUCCAGAUAAAUAUCUUUGAUAUUACCGAAGGCCAUGUUGAUGGUACAUCUAUCACUCUGCAAGACUAACAUGUUACUGGAUUUGGGGUGACCCGUUAUGCAAAUAUGGCUCAAGUGAUCAAAGAGUUAUAUCACUACACUGAAUUCUCUUUGAAUAUUUGGAAAGCCUUCCCAGGAAGGAUGGGUUCAAAGGAGCCUAGACUGUGAGGUCUACAAUAUAUACCUAACUCUUCAAUGCCCAGACAUAGACAAACAUCCACAAGCAUUAAGAUUAUCCUGGAAACCAUGGCCUUACCAAACAGACUAAAUAAGGCACCAGAGGACCAAUCCUGGAGUGACAGAGACAUGUGAACCUUUUGGCAGAGAAUUCAAAAUAGCUGUUUUGAAAAAGUGAGCAAUCUACAAAAUAAAUCAAGAAAGUAAUUAUAUUCACAAUAGCUACCAAGAAAAUAAAAUGUCUAGGAAUAAACUUUACCAAAGAAUUAAAAGAUAUCUAUCAUGAAAACUAUAAAAUAUUGAUGCAAGAAAAUGAAAAGGACAGAAAAAAGGAAAUAUAUUCAAUGAUCAUAGAUUGGAAAAAUUAAUAUUGUUAAAAUGUCCAUAUUACCUUAAGCAAUCUACAGACUCGGUGAAAUUCCUAUCAAAAUGCCAAUGACAUUCUUCACAGCAGUAGUGAAAGAAAUCCUAAAAUUUAUACAGAACCACAAAAGAUUCAGAAUAGCUAAAACCAUUCUGAGCGAUAAAGUGUAAAACUGGAGAAAUCACAUAACCUGACUUCAAAUUUUAUGACAUAGCCAUAGUAUUCAAAACAGUGUGAUACUGGCAUAAAAACAAAUAGAACAAUGACACUGAGUAGAGAAUCUAGAAGUGAAUCCAUACAUCUAGAGUGAACUUAUUUUUGUCAAAGGUGUCAAGAACAUACAUUAAGGAAAGCAAGUCUCUUCAAUAAAUGGUACCGGGAAAACUGAAUAUUCAUAUGCAGAAGAAUAAAACUAGGUGCCUGUCUCUCACCACAUAUAAAAAUGAAACAAAAAAGGAUUAAAGUUUUAACUGUCAGACCUCAAACUGUGAAACUACUGAAGUGGAAAAGUAGGGAAACUCUCUAGGAUAUUGGUUUGAGCAAAAUAUUUCUUAUUACCUCAGAAGCAGAGGCAAUCAAAGCAAAAAUGAACAUUUGAGAUCAUGUCAAGUUCAAAAGCUUCUGCACAGGAAAGAAAACAAUCAACAAGAUGAAGAGACAACUCAAAAUCCAUCUGACAAAGAAUUAAUAACCAGAAUACAUAAGGAGGUCAAACAAUUCUAUAGGAGAAACAUCUGAUGAUCUGAUUAAAAAACGGGCAAAGUAUCUGAAUAGACAUUUCUCAAUAGAAGACAUAAAAAAGACCACCAAAUAUGAAAAAGUGUUCAAUAUUAUUGAUCAUCAGGAAAAUGCAAAUCAAAACAAUAAUGAUGUAUCAUCUCACCCCAUUUAAAAUGGCUUUCAUCCAAAAGACAGGCAAUAACAAAUGCUGGCAAGAAUGUGGAGAAAAGGGAACCUGUGUACACCAUUGGUGGAAAUGUAAAUUAGUACAGCCACUAUGAAGAACUGUAUGAAAGUUCCUUAGAAAACUAAAAAAAAUAACGAACAUAUGAUCCAACAACCUCACUGGUAGAUAUUUACCCCAAAGGAAUAAAAUCAGUAUAUCGAAGAGGUAUCAGCACUCCCAUGU
ensembl:lncRNA LINC01192 long intergenic non-protein coding RNA 1192